CAGCUCAUGUGACCUAUUGGUUAGAGCGUCCGCCUUGGAUGCGUGAGGUCGUGGGUUCGAUCCCCGGUCAAGU